CUGUAGGGAACCUGCUUUAGCAGGGGGGUUGAACUCAAUGCUCUCUGGAAGUCCUUUCCAACCCCUAUGAUUGCAUGAUUCCACGAUUCUAUGAUGGUAAUAAAGUCCGCCUUCUCCCUGUAUGCCCUUCUCACUUGCACUGUGCUUCAUCAAUAAAGAUUUUAUUUUGCUAUUACUUUCUGUUUCUUCAAUAAGAUUAACUAACCCUGAAGCUUUGACAAACUCGAGAGGUUGAUCACAGCCUGAAUAACCACAUGCCAUUAUGAGGCACGCCCCAUGAGCCUGCCUCAGUUUCAAACCCCAAAAAAAGCACCGAUGAGUCAAGGUGGAUUUUCCAUGGUUUUCAGAGUUCAACAAACUGAUCAGAAGAAUCUCAAGAACAAUCCCAGUGAAGGCCUUACAUGCAUCUCUGAUUCUUUUUGUCUUUUGACAGUCCACUCUCUUUUCUCAAAUUGUUUGGACGUUUUCCAGGUUAGGAUGAAGGCUAAAAAGUAAUCCCUUUGGAUGCCGACAGUUCCCACAGUAAGGGUGAGUAACUGUUUAUUAUUCAGAGCAUAGCCUUAAAGUAUGAAAGAACUUUAUGAUUCUAACCAGGUACUUUGGGGGCAAAAUGUUUAAGUGAUCCCAUCUUCUAAAUGCUCAAACUUCCACGUCACAAAGGUCUGAGAUAAUUUAACACGAUAGUGCUGCUAUUUGAACUGAAGACCAUCACAUCUGAUUAUAUAUUAGUUAAAAUAAUUAUGUAAGUUGGUGUGAUGCUCUUAUCUCUGCUAGUACACUUUGCUGGACCAUCAACUGAUACGAAACUGCUCUACCAUUCUCUUUAACAUCUCAUUUGAAAACAACUAUAUAUUAUACAGCCUACUUCUCUGGGUAAGUACUAGUCCAGAAUAAAGAUUGUGAUUAAUUGAAUAGCUCACAUGGGCUAAUAAUAGAAACUCAACAAAACCAGGGAGAAAAGAGACCAUCAAUAUAAGGGAAAUAAACUAAAAAUAAAUAAAAAUGCUACCAAUGGAGAUUUCCAAUGAAGAGUAGGGAUAUAUCUAAUAAAGCAGUUCUGUCAGUAAUGCUAAUCUCAUUUCAGGGAAGAGGUUAUGCUUAUCUUCUUACACUAGCACUUCUCUUGUUCAAACCUCAGUUGUCAACAAAGCAUGCCUGAAAUGCUGAUCACUAGGAACACCACAGGCACUGAACUCAAGUGCACGCAGGCUGUGUUCUGUAGUAACAGUUUUAUGGUGACUAGACUUAAAGCAAUCGCUUUUCUGAGACACUGGAGACAAUACUUGUCCCAGGGAUUUUCAAAACCAAAAUCUGGACUGAUGUGGCAUUUUUGUUUGUUUGCUUUUUUAACAACACAAAAUCAGUUGUGUUUGUGUUUCUAAAGAUGCUGAUGAGCCAAACGCUAUUUCUAUUCUUCUGUGUUUAUAAUAUUCACAAGUUUGUCCUGAACUCACAACAUUGCUCACACAAAGCAAAUGUAACUCUCAUACACAAUAGACAGAAGACUGCAACAAGGGAUACCAAAUAAGUGGGCUAUUAAUGCACUAUAUGUCUCCCCAGUUGAAUAUUUUAAAGGAAAAAAAGAACAUUUGAAGAAAAAUUGUGUGGCUUUUCGAAGCUAAUCUGAGAAGAUAACAUUGUAGAGGUUAACAAUGUGGCAGGUUAUUAAUUGCACAGUUGCAAUAAUGUCAUCCUUUGUCUAUGGGUUGAGGUAGAACAAUCAUUUAGCUGGAAGCAUUAAUCCACAUGGCAAGCCGCCAAUCACUGUACUCAAUGCAUGUACUUGGUGCCAUUGUAUACUUCAACACAAAUGUUUGCAGAGUAGUACCCAUUUCUGAUUACUGUUAGCAUAACCUUCAACUAGUGAGAACUAUUCAUUCCAAUGGGUAUUUGAAGGAGAAUUUCUACCACAGGUAAGGUCACAGAGUUCCAGGAAACUACUAAGUAUGGGUUUUUCAUAGAAGAUAAAUUACUGAAAACAAAGUCCUGCCUGUUCUGAAAAAGCAGUAAUAUCCCAUGGCGUUUUUGUAACAGCUGGUGGUUGUCUUUGGGAAAACCUCCAUGCCUCCAUCCACAUGGUGGCUGCUAUCCCCUGUUCAAGAGGUUGCCAGAAAUGCGGAAUACAAAUAUUUUGGAAUGAAAGAUGCUACAGAAAUGUAAUAUACUGUCUAAUUGUCAAACAGGUAUGUCCAUUAUUGCUUAUGGCAAAAGUUAUUUAGAGCACUGAAUAGACCACAGGAGCCAUACAACAUUUUCCCUGCUGUAAAGGUCUGCUUGCAAGGUCUGUUUUAAUUCAUUCAUAAUAGCAGCAUAUUACUGGCAUUGUGUGAUUUAAGGAUGAAAUUUAAUGUGCACCUACUGCAGUUCUGUAGAUAGAAAACUACACCGUAUCAUACAGUCAUCAUUUUGCAUAAUAUUGUGCAAUAUAGGUGUGGAAUAAACUAUGGAAUUGAAGUGUUUUCCUUGUGAAAUUAAUUUUAUGAUGCAUAAUUUAAAAAGUUAGAAAGCUGGGCUGUUUUAUUCUGCUGUAGUUCCAGACAUGAUAAAAUCAUUUUGUUUCCACUACAGUAUAACAAUAAAUCAAGACGUUAUUCUACGACUCUUGCUCGUUUAAAUGAAACCAAAUCUGCAUGUCAUUCCCUUUUUACAGAACAGGCAAUCAGUUUGCAUCGCACCCUGUUGAGCAGUUGCCUUUUCUGUGUUUGCAUUCCAGCAUGUGGGUGAGGUUUUAGGGAGCAUGCAUGCACAUGCAUACAGCCACUGAACGUAUUGCUGUAGGCACAGGGACAGGUUUUUGCGCCCACCUUCAUCAUGGAAUACUAUAGGCAUCUAAUCUACAGAUAUACAACAGUAUAACAAAAAUUUUGGUCACAUCUCUUUUUUUUCUAAGGAGUUCUGAAAGCUAUUUCAGAAAUCUGGACCAGUUACUAUUUCUAAAUAGUAACUUCUUACUACCAUAAAGAAGUUAAAACCAUUACAUCUAUUUCUCAUAUUAAAUAACCUCAGUGCCUGAGGAUUAAGCAAUUUGCCAAAAUCCCAGCUAGUUAACAGCACAAUUGGGAAUAGCACAAUUUUGUAUUGCAACUAGUUUUAUUCUCUAUUUUCAUCAGAUAAUCUUGUGUUGAAGUAUACAGCAGCACCAAGUACUGCAUUGAGUACAGUGAUUGGCGGCUUGCCAUGUGGAUUAAUGCUUCCAGCUAAAAAAAAAGGGGAUGAUAAUAAUGAAUGGCAUCUGCCUGGGAAUAUCUCAUGUUUUUAAGUAUACAAAAAAUUGAUUUCAAAAUGAACAGGCUCAAAGUUUGCAUGAGAUUCACCAAGUAAGUCACUGACAUGUACAUUUGAUAAAGACAUCCUAUGUAAUAUGCUGAUGGAUUUCUAUUCAGUUUAUGAUAUGACUACUGAUUUUAUUUUAUUAUUAUUAUCAAGUGCAAUAGGACACGUAAAGGAUUUAACUCCAGUUAAACAAGAAAAACACUGGUAAUAUUUCAAGUUAGAAUUGUCCUGUCUACGUGACCCAAGGUAAUAUUAAAAUUACCCCAUAGCUGGGUUUGUAAAAGGGCUAUGCUCUCCACUGGAGUUCAGUUACGGUAACUGAAGUGUAACUCUGCUAACGACAAAAUUACACAGGUAGUAUAAUUUAGUCUUUGUUUUUAAUAUUAUAUUUCAGUAAUUUAUAUUUGCAAUAUCUAUGCUAGUCAUCUACGCAAAGACAGAUUUCACCCUCAGAAGGAAACAGAUCACUUUAUUCUAAAUUGUGAGCAAUGCAAUUGUCUGUGUAUGCUGGCCUGACAGAUGAACUUGUCUAACACUAAGACUACAAAAAAGCACCCCGUGUACUGUCAGUGCACCACACCUCUCAUUCAUUAGGCAUCCAGUGAGCUGGCAAAAGCAGUUUGGAGGUGUUAGAAGACAGAACCCUGCAGCAGAGCCUGUUUUAAGAAAUUCAAGAUGCACUUCAGAAAAUCCUUGGCUGAAGGUUCCGAUUUCAACUAUUCUUGACUCCUAAUUUUCUAACAGUGAUCUCCACUCCAGGCAUCUAAAGAUCAACAACUAUCUUGCCGAGAGGAUCUCAAGUGUUCUGGGAUUCAGUUUGUCUCUGCAGACUAAAACUGCACUGCCACUGUUUGUUCAGCCGUUGCCAUUGUGUGAUACAAUGGGCCUAGAUUACCAUUUAUCAGACCUGUUCUUCCAGCUAGUCUACAUUCCUCGCCUUCUCCACUUCCAGGAUGGGGAGAUCCUUCCUGAGCCUCCCAAAGACUCAUGCUCUCCUUUCAAGAAAGCAACAUUCACUUUAAUAAUUAAUUUAAAACUGAAACAAAUGCUUUGAAGAAUAUUUUGAUUUAUCACCUUGAUAUAAUGAUCUCCUUCCUCUAAAGCUUCACAAUUCUGAUAAAAUAAACGUAUUCCUUUGCUCUAGCUUGAUUCAUGAAGUCUUUUCAAAAAUUUUCCUAUUUAAAAUUUCUGUUGCUCUCUGCACGCUCAAUGCAAGCUCAGUGGAACAGCUUUAUUUAUUGAAAAGGAGUUUAAAAGCUUGGCACUGCGCACAAGCUAUGAUAUUGUAAAAAUACUAAAAUGGAAAGGCUUAGGAAUAAUAACAAAUCAAAUUAAAAUGAAAAAAUAGUUCAGUACACAAAAUGGCUAUUUGAUCAGAAAAAUAUCUAACCAUCUCUUACAACUCUUCUCACAAGCACGUUUUUCAGACGUUAUUAUAUACCCACCUGUAGGUUUUCAUAGUCUUUACAGAAGGCAGGUGUGCUCAGUAAACUAAGAAUCAUCAUAAUGCUCAUUCAUUCACCUGUAACUGAAAUAACCAUAAAUAAUGCCUUGAAUUCACUGUCAUCGGGAGAGGAACGAUGUUCUGAAUAGUAUGAAUGCCCUCUACAGGUAGAACAAGAAACCUCUGUAAUUCCAGGAUUUGAGUUUGUCUAUUCACUAAGUAGGUACUAAAUAAUUAAGUCUAUAUUGGUCCUUAUAAGAUCACAGUGACGUUAUCUGAAAAUUGUGAUGCACUGGAAUCUGCUGAUAUUGUUGACAGACAGUUCAAAAACUAUCACAGACCUUCCCCCAUUCUAAUAGGCAGGCUUAUGGAGGCCUGCUCUGAGCCUACUGCUGACUGUCUAGCCUACGUGGUCAGAAGUUUCAGAGUCUGACAGAACGAUCUCUUACUUCUCACAGAAAAACAGCAGUCAGCAACUACAGCCUGCCUGAACUCUGUGACAUUCGGCCCCACGAGCUUCUUUGCAGCAUAUCCGUUCUGGUUUUCCAUCUGGCCAAGCGUACUGGGGAUGAGAUCAACAAAAACAUAAAGAUAUGUACUCAGUUUCGGGGAAGAAUGAUCUCAUCCCACAGCCAAAGCUGAAUGCAAAUAAAGCUAAUUGAACACUUCUGCAUUCAGAGAAUGAAACAAGGCUUUUAAACAGUCUUUUCUGGAAUAAGAGGACUGACAGACACUAAAUGAAAUGUGGUAAAUAUCACAUGCAACAGGAGUAACGAAACAACAGAAGCACUGAAAGUCAGUAAAAGCAAUCAUGGCAACACGACAAAGAAAAAACUAUAGCCUUGCUUAAUAUUAAUAGUCACCAACAUCCUUACUAUUUCCAAAGAAAUAUACCCAGAACACCCUGCACUGGGGUGGAUGAACAAAUGGCCCUGAAUUCAGGCUGCACAUGAGCCACAGUUCUAACUUCAUACGCAGUACAGAAUGUAGCUACUAUUGCAUUCACAACCUCUGGCCGCACAGAGAUACAGCUUGUUUCCAUUUUCCCUUAACUCUGCCAUAGAAGUUCAGGGACUAUAUGCAGGCUGCAGAAUCAAAAUACCAUUACAACACUUGCCUGUUCACUAAAAACAUGAACAAAUGGCUUCAUUUCUAUAUUUGAGAAAGCAAAGAGACGUGUUCUAUAUCUAGGAGCCAAAGCUGCCAGCAAAAUAAGAACUGAGGAACACAAAACUU
ensembl:lncRNA